rnacentral:lncRNA from 1 species
UCAACGAUGGAUGGGUUUUACUAUAAAAACGACCCUUUGCUUUGUUUGGCAGCUGGAUCGUCAUUUUCUGUUCUCUGUUUUUCUCUGCGUCUUCUGGAACCUUCAAGGGCUUCGUCUUUGUGACUCUUUCUUCUUGUCUGUGUGAGAUUUUCUGUUGAUUAUCUUUGUGAUAAUCGUGUCCUUGUGUUAGUCUCCUUUGUGUGAGUAAACUGUUGGAAGUGGUCUGUCCAUUUUCGGUUCCAAUGAAGCGACUUUGUGUUUGGGGUUGUGAGGGCUCGUGUUUCUGAGUUCGAUGCCUCUGUGAUGGUCU